rnacentral:rRNA from 1 species
GACGUAGGGCGCGAGCGUUGUCCGGAUUUAUUGGGCGUAAAGAGCUCGUAGGCGGCUUGUCGCGUCGACUGUGAAAACCCGCGGCUCAACUGCGGGCCUGCAGUCGAUACGGGCAGGCUAGAGUUCGGUAGGGGAGACUGGAAUUCCUGGUGUAGCGGUGAAAUGCGCAGAUAUCAGGAGGAACACCGGUGGCGAAGGCGUGUCUCUGGGCCGAUACUGACGCUGAGGAGCGAAAGCGUGGGGAGCGAACAGG